GGCGUCUUGUGAAAUCCCACGGCUCAACCGUGGAAUUGCAGGGCGAACCAUCGGUCUUGAGGUGGGUAGAGGUCGCCGGAACGUUGGGUGGAGCGGUGAAAUGCGUAGAGAUCCAACGGAACGCCAAUGGUGAAGACAGGCGACUGGGCCCAACCUGACGCUGAGGCACGAAAGCGUGGGGAGCAAACAGGAUUAGAUACCCUGGUAGUCCACGCCGUAAACGAUGCGCACUUGGUCGGUGGGGUGUUCACGCCCUGCCGGCCGGAGAGAAAUUGUUAAGUGCGCCGCCUGGGGACUACGGUCGCAAGGCUAAAACUCAAAGGAAUUGACGGGGGCUCACACAAGCGGUGGAGCAUGUUGCUUAAUUCGAAGCAACGCGAAGAACCUUACCUGGGCUUGACAUGCACGGAUUAGCUCUUGGAAACAUGAGUGACGCGGCUUGCCGUGGAACGUGCACAGGUGCUGCAUGGCUGUCGUCAGCUCGUGCUGUGAAGUGUCGGGUUAAGUCCCUUAACGAGCGCAACCCUUAUCGCUAGUUGCCAGCGCGUCAUGGCGGGGACUCUAGCGAGACUGCCGGUGUCAAACCGGAGGAAGGUGGGGAUGACGUCAAGUCCUCAUGGCCCUUACGCCCAGGGAUGCAAACGUGCUACAAUGGCGUGUACAGAGCGAUGCGAGGCCGCGAGGCGGAGCAAAUCGCAAAAAGCACGCCCCAGUUCGGAUUGCAG
rnacentral:rRNA from 1 species